CCCUUAGAUGUUCUGGGCAGCACGCGCGCUACAAUGGUCUUCGCAAACGGAUGCAUUCUCGAAGGAGAAUGCCAAUCUUGGAAUCUAUGCCUUGGUCGGGACAGUUGCUUGCAAUUUUUCGACUCGAACCAGGAAUUCCUUGUAAUCGUGAUUCAUCACAUCACGAUGAAUACGUCCCUGCCCUUUGUACACACCGCCCGUCGCUCCUACCGAUCGAAGAGUUAGGUGAAUUGUUUUGAUCGAUAAGAUUUGACUAUGGUCAACUCUCGUUGUGAAAUUCUGUGAAUCUGACUGUUUAGAGGAAGGAAAAGUCGUAAUA
rnacentral:rRNA from 1 species